CAGAAGGUCAUAGGCCUAGUAAUGGUGAAGCCAGAACUGGACCCAGGUUCCUGCCUUCAAAUCCCUGUUCUGUCCAUUUCCAGGUCAGCCUUCCUGCUGUCUGCCGGUUUCUGGAUGCUCAAGUCUGAAUGAAGUCAGUCCUGUGAUUCAUCUGUCACAACUCCAUGGGGGAGAGUUCCUCUUCUCUGCUCUCUACUGGCGCAUUGCACACUUGGGCAUUUAUGGUUGCUGGUGAAUACUGAUAUUUAAAUGAACUUCCUCCUUCAUGACCAAACACACAGGAGCUUUACGUAAUCCCCGGACCCCACGUGAUGCUAAUGUAUAGAUUUAGCAGGCAGUAAGUAUGACCCGGCUUAUGAGAGUUUCACAGCUUGCCACCAC
rnacentral:lncRNA from 1 species